rfam:Vibrio sinaloensis strain T08 Contig20, whole genome shotgun sequence.
CUUAUUUGGUGGCGCACUUGGACAAGUUCUUGGUGGGCUAGCGUGUACUUCUAAAAAGUUAGAAAGGAAUACCCCAAGCCCGCUCAAGUAGCGGGCUUUUUGUU